rnacentral:lncRNA from 1 species
CGGGUUGGGUUUAGAGGUUGCCGUUGACAGAUUUACCACCGUCGACGCAGAUGACUUGGCCAUUGAUGUAGCAAGCAGCAGGGAGGCACAAGAAAGCCACCACAGCUGACACCUCCUCCGACUCGGCCACGCGCCCGAGAGGGAUGCGGUACGUCUCCUUCGCCACGAACUCCUCGAUCGCAAGCAACUGUGUUGGGGACGCAAACAUUUAAGUUUGGAAUCCAGGCAUUUCAUCAACUAGGUGGUGGCGGAGGAGGUCAUUACCGGUUCCAUGAGAGGGGUUCUAACGGAGCCGGGCGCGACGCAGUUGGUCCGGAUGUUGUCCUUCGCCCACUCGCAGGCCAGGCUCCUGGUGAGCUGGUUCAGCGCCGCUGGAGAAGAGCAAGCGAGAGUCAAGUUGCUGGAGAUCUCGAAGAGCUCCAAGAGCUCGACGAGUAAUCGAGUACGUACCUUUAGUUGCUCCGUAGAUGGUUAUGUUGUCAAUGCCGACGAUGCCGGCGAGCGAGGAGACGUUGACGAUGGUGCCUGCUCCUGAUGCCUUGAGCAGGGGGUGGGCGAGCUGGGUCAGGUGGAACGCAGACUCCAGGUUGGUGCUCAUCAUAAACUUGUACUCGUCAGGGGUUAUGGCCACCAUCGGCUUCACAAACCCCGUCCCUGCGUUGUUGACCUACACGACGAGCACAACAAGUUCACAAGCAGCUCAAAUCACGAGUGGAGAUCUUUUUGUCGCUCACCAGGAUACUGAGCUUUCCGCCGAAGGUGGACUUGACGUCCUCCAUUAGCUUCUCUCGAUCAGCUUGGCACGAGACAUCGCAGACGGAGCCUGUGACCUUAAAGUUCUUCGCCCCCCAUUCUUUCAAGCACUUGUUGAGCUCUGCUUCGUUUCGGGAGCAGGUGUGGAUGGCUGCUCCGAAUCUAGCUAGUUCCUCGACUAUGGCAUACCUGGAAGGCGGACAACAGAGCUCAGUUCAUGGUGGCCGAUCACGAACAAGAAAAUAAACCCUGCAGCUGCUAGAGAGAUGUAGACAUGA